AAGUCGUAACAAGGUAACCGUAGGUGAACCUGCGGUUGGAUCAUUACAAAAUGAUGGUUUUUAUGCUUGAGCUGCUUUCGAGUGGCUCGCAUAAAAACUUAUUCACCCUUGUGCAUCGUAAUGUUUUUUGGGUCGGUUUCACGACUGGCCCAGCAUUUUAUAAACACUUGUAUUUUGACUGAAUUUUUUUGAAAAUAAAAAAUAACAACUUUUGACAACGGAUCUCUUGGCUCUC
rnacentral:misc_RNA from 1 species